rnacentral:rRNA from 1 species
UACGUAGGGGGCUAGCGUUGUCCGGAAUCAUUGGGCGUAAAGCGCGUGUAGGCGGUCCGGUAAGUCCGCUGUGAAAGUCGGGGGCUCAACCCUCGGAUGCCGGUGGAUACUGUCGGGCUUGAGUACGGAAGAGGCGAGUGGAAUUCCUGGUGUAGCGGUGAAAUGCGCAGAUAUCGUCCAGAACACCGAUAGCGAAGGCAGCUUACUAAGGAGUAACUGACGCUGAGGCACGAAAGUGUGGGGAUCAAACAGG